rnacentral:lncRNA from 1 species
ACUCCGCUGGGCUCUUGGCAGCACCCUGUGCUCUGAGGGUGUCUUGCCCGCCGGGCGCCGUGGCUCACGCCUGUAAUCCCAACACUUUGGGAGGCUGAGGCGGGCGGAUCACUUGAGGUCAAGAGUUCAAGACCAGCCUGGCCAACAUGAUUCUACUCUAAAAGUCACCAGGAAAAAUUCAGCUCCACUGGUCCUGGCUCUAAGUCUACUAGCAAAAUCUUCCAGAGAAGUGGAAAAGCCAUCAGCCAAUGUGUUAGACUAUCAUUUCCAUGACCUUACACCUAUCAAAAAGGCACUAUUACCAGGCUUAUAGAAUUCUAAAAAAGUUGGAAACCAUUUUCCAUUAUAAAAGAAAUUCUUCCAAAUCACACAAAACACUCUGACACUUCUCCAAUUCCCCCUAUCAUGGGGCUGGCAGCAGCCGCUUUGCGUCCUGAAUGUCAUGACAGUGAUGAUAACAGUAAUGAUGAUAACAGCAAUGAUGAAGUCUCACAUUUAAAAUUUUCAAGUCACUCAUCACAUCCCAAGUCACUCCCUUCAUUACCUUUUAUUUAUACUGGAGUCAUCCUGUGUGCCUCAGUCAGACCAUUUUGUAUGUACAAUGACCGACAAUGAGAUUUAACAUGCAGUUUGCAGAUCCUCCCUUCUCUGGGUCACCUGAAAAUAAGCCACAAACAAAGGAAUGAAAUUGUUGAUGAAAAGGGAAGAGGCAAGACUCCAUAUGAAGAAUACAACUGACUCACCUGUCUGUACAUGCCUCUGUGUGUGUGUUUUAUAUUGGUGCUGGUGAAGAUAGUUCUUUAUGCUGAUGCUUAAUAAGGUGAAAUGUGUCUAUUUUCUUCCAUUGGCCCAGGCACAGAUGCGAUUAUAAUUGCUAAGAUUAUUUGCAUAUUGGCUUUUAAUGAUGCAUUUAAAAAUAUUCAUCCCAUUUACUGACUUAUGCAGGCAAUGUACUUUUGUAAAUGUGGGCCAGCAUCAUGCUUAAAUUCCCAAACCACUAUUUAUUUAAAACUCAUCACUUCAGUUUUUAUACCCUUUCUCCCCCAUAAGGGAAAAAAUAUGAUUCUGACUGUAUAAGCACCAACUAAACAGAACACAAAACAUGGCAGACGAUAAAAACAUAUUUUCACAAAUGAGACAUGUCAUUUUACCAUCGAGGAGAGAAACAAAAUAAGCUGGUUUUCAAGUUCCAUAUCUUGUGUGCUCCUUUCAGCUAAAUGCCCUUACAUCUGUAAGCCCUUGGGACAGGUUAAGGCUUUUAUUAUUAUUUUAAAGUCUUCAUAACUACAACCUAGCAUCCAAAGUGAAACAGAUGCUAUUGGAUAUGAGUAGCAUAUGCAAUGGAAAUAUUGACAUUGCCUUCCCGACAGUCAUGAGGGAUAGACCAUAGGCUUUUUGGUAACCUAUAUUUUCUAGGCCCAAAGCAGGGAAUGAGAUGGCAGGGAAAUUCAGGGUAAACUCCAAAUUUACAUAAAGUUAUAGAAGAAUAUAGAUCAUGAGUAGUGGCUAGCACCUUCCUGACUUCCAGAAAAUGGUGGUGCCGAUAUUGAACAACAGUUUGGAGAAAAUGUAAAAUGUUUACAUUUACAUUUACAGUUUAGUCUUUGAACAACAGUUUGGAGAAAAUGUAAAAUGAAAAUUUGUUAACGAACUUGUUUUUAAAAAGCACCUAGACUCCAUAUAAGAGUACUUGUCCUAUGUUAUUUUCAUAAACUACAUUUGUGAUUGUU